rnacentral:sRNA from 1 species
GAUGAGGCGGUUCUUGUUGAUUCCGUGCAGAUUUCAAGCUAAAUUAAUUAUGUGAUUUUUUGUGCGCAGCGCUGCAGACCGAAAAUCCCAAUGGACAGGCACUCACCAGAGAUGGAGAUGGAAAUGGAGAUGGAGGCCAAAACCUAACCCUGAAAAUCAAUAAAAUGGUGCUAAAACCUAUGAACGACUUUUUAACUGAAUAUUUGAAAGAUCAUUGAACAGAACACCCAUCACUGGGUUCAAAAUUGAGUCCUUCAAACACAGACGCUGGGAAUGGAAUCAAAAUGGAAAUUUACCAAUUUUUGGGGACAUCAGGCAAAAAAAAGAAGAAAAACCCCGGGAAAAACUAAUCUGCAACUGGGGAAACUUUGCGGGCCACUUGGUAUGUUAAAUCUGCGUGAAUUUAUCAACUUUUCUAAUUAACCAGCACUGGAGGAGCACUGGAGGAGCACUCCACACCGGAGUACUUCCCCGUCUGGUCCUAAAAUCUGUUUACAUUUUGCCACAUGAGAAAUUGUUGGCCAUGGAGGCCCCGGGCGGGGCAGAGUCGGACAUAACUUGUUAACGGUUUCACUUAUGUAAGUUCAUUAGCUGAAGGAGGUGGAGGAGGUGGAGGAGGAGGAAGUGGAGGAGGAGCAGGAGUAGCUAGCUGGCAUCUGGCAAUCAAUCAAAUCAGCAUAUGACCAACGUUCUGUUGGAUUUUGCGGCUCGCCUCUCGAGUGGAAAUAAAGAGAAAAUUAGAAUGCACACACAGUGCACCUGAUGGGUUGGUCGAUUGGCUGGUUGCACAGAGGUGUGUUGCAUGAGCAGAUGGCCAACCGCAGGUCGGUUGCUUGGACAAUGCCCGAGGGCUGAGCGCUGUCACGUGAGCGCCCGAGCAGGGCAAUCAACGAAUCAGGCAACCAAUCAAGCGGCGUGUGACAUGCAACUGAAGCGUGUACGUGCCCCAACUCCCCCCCGAUGCACAGUGGUGCAUUCCACGAAGAUUCUGCGUGGACUAUCUUCCACACAAGAACCCACAAUCAAAGACUGAUUAUUCCACGGUGCAGCAAUAUAAUGAAGAAUCGAAGUGGGGCUCUCUUUUCCCACAGCUGGGACACAGCUCGGUCUCUCUCUCUCUCGCUCGCUCUCUCUCUCUGGCACUGCAUUAUGGACUCUGUGAACGUGCGUCUGUCAAGUUGCCAGCUAGCAGGUCCUCCCUGGCUUACAGACCAGUCCUUGCCGGUCCAUGCCAUUCCGUCUAUCCAGCAGUUUCGCUUGGUUUCGCAUGUCAGCACUCCUGGCCUGCCCCCCUGCCUCACCGCCUCCCCGCCUGCCCCCUCCUGUCGGUUGUCCGUUUAGUGCUUGCGACACGUCAAUGCUUUCAUCAUUUAAUUAACUGUUUCGUGUGGCUAAAUGGCCAGGUGAAGUGGGCAAGGAAGGCUGCCUGCCCCUGCCCCUGCCCCUGGACUACGUGCCGGCAAGAUGCAGGAGCCAGCAGGGGGUCCUUGGUGGCACACUUUGCAUGUCAAAUUUGAUUGAUCGCUCAUCUGUGUGGGAGAGCGGCAGAGCGGCAGAGCGCCAGAGAGGGGCAGUUAAACGGGAAAUUUAACUGUCAGUUUUGCUCAGUCGUCCAAACAAAGGAUGCUCCAUCGAUGGAUGCUAGUUGGGCUUUCUUCCAAGGACUAAAAGUAUAUCUUUUGGGGGAUUGUUUACUGGUUUAAAUCUCUACCCAAAGACCUCCUUCAGAUAUCCUCUUAAACUUUUUUCCCAAAGCCCAAAAACUCCGAGAGAGAGAAAACCACUAAAAGCAAACCAGCAGACUAUCAAAUUAGUUGGAUAAACUUGUUUAGCAAAUAAUUUAUGGUUUCCGAACAAGUCUGAACAACAAAAGGAGGCGGUCUGUGCCGUGUCCUUCCUGCCAGGCUCCUCCCUUACCUCUGGCCAUAUCCGUAUCUUCUUUUGUACGGAUUGAAAAGAAAUCCAAAGCUGAUUUAUGUUUUUAUUUUGUGCAUUAUUUGGGAGUUUAUAUUUAAAACAUUAGACAACGUCAACGUCCACAGAGACAGGGACACUGAAGAGAUAAAAACAGCUGAAAGCAGCACAAAUAAAACUGCAACUGCAGCAACAAAAAUCCAAAUAAAUGUAGGUGGAAAAGCACUGCAAAACAGGGGGGGUGGAGGUAUGGGGUUUCAUAGAUAAAGCGUCGGGCAGCAAAGGGCAGACAGACAAAUAAAGCGGAAAUGUUAACAUCAACGAAUGGCGCCGGCAAC